rnacentral:rRNA from 1 species
UACGUAGGCAGCGAGCGUUGUUCGGAAUUAGGGGGAGUAAAGAGUGUGUAGGCGGUGCUCUAAGUUCGGUGUGAAAUCUCUCGGCUUAACUGGGAGGGUGCGCCGGAAACUGGAGUGCUCGAACGUGGGAGAGGAAAGCGGAAUUCCUGGUGUAGCGGUGAAAUGCGUAGAUAUCAGGAGGAACACCUGCGGUGUAGACGGCUUUCUGGACCAUUGUUGACGCUGAGACACGAAAGCGUGGGUAGCAAACAGG